rnacentral:lncRNA from 1 species
AUAUAUAUAUAUAUAUAUAUAUAUAUAUAUAUAUAUAUAGAGAGAGAGAGAGAGAGAGAGAGAGAGAGAGAGAGAGAGAGAGAGAGUUGAGCUGGAAUGCUAUCGGUAGCAAACGAGCUCUAUUGCCACCCAUUUGUUUUCGAUGAUGGAGCUUCUAAAUCGAUGAUCGGCACCGUUAAAUAUGAUCUAUCCCACUUGAAGUAUGUAGAAACUAAAUUUCAUACUUUUUACACUAAUUCGAAUUCUUUUACUUUAAAUAAUUUAAAGUUUCUAACAAAAAUUCAACUAAUUCGAAUUCUUUUACACUAUUACAUGAGCGAACGCUCUGUACUUAUUGUUAAAAUUAUAAAUUUUGCGACCCUUUGAUCAUUAGGUUAAUAAUAUAAAAACUGCAUAAAAUUUAAAAUGCAUAAAAUUUGAAUUUUUAGACACUUUAAAUAGAUUUGAUCAUAUUCAACAAUAUCGAUAGUUAAUUUGGAGGCUCUAUCAUUGAAAAUAAGUUGGUAGCAAUGGAGCCCAUUUGGUACCAAUAGCAUUCUAGUUCAACUCUAUAAUAUAUUUGAAUAUUGCUUCAUAAUGACUAUCAGAUAGAAUUUUCCUUUUUCGGUUAAAAAUAAGUUGUUACUAAUAAUAUAUUUGAAUUUUUUUAUAUUUUAGUAUAAUUAACAAUCUUGAUGUUGUUUGAUAUUUUUUAGAUUGUAGAUGAUAGUAUUAUUCUGAUUAA